rnacentral:lncRNA from 1 species
GCGAUGAACCCUAACCAACACUUGAGGGCACCCUGCGCUCACAAGUUACAUAGUACUGAGGGUGCAUUUUAAAAAGCUCUUUCCUUUUACUUGCAAGUCUAAGGGGAAGUUGAAAGCAGGUCAGACUCUGGGCCUAUCUAAAGACAAAAAAUCAGGGGAACAUGCAGCUCUUGUGAUUUUUUUCCUUUCCUCUUUGAUUCUCAUCGACUGUGUGUAUGUGCCAAAUUAUUUGCUGCACUCCAAUUCCAGCUGCUAAGUUUCCCUUCCUGGGGACAGAUGCAAAGCCUGGGAAGAACAGGUCCUGCCCUCUAGCUCUGAGGCCAGGGACCCAGCCAGAGGCAGCUCAAGCACAAAACAGCCUUGGGGAUCCUUGAUCUUAAGAACCCAAGCAUCAAGCAUGUGCUCUCAGAGUAAGGGCUGCAGAUCAGAACUUUUGAAAGUGGGAAUCUUUGUCCAUCAUCCCACAAAACCACUUUGAACAUUCUCUGCAUUCCUCCCAUAUAUCAGAGUUUGAGGGACCAGGAAUCCAGAACUUCCAUGGGAAUCCUUCUAGGAAGACUAGUGAGAAGAAGGACUGUAGUGCUAGGGGAAGGGAGGGGACAGGAGUAGACACGCUAGGGCAGAGGAGGACAGGGCUCACCGGGGUAGAGAACUGGAGAACAUGGGAAGAUGUAUCAAGACUUACCAGUUCUUCAUCCAAAUCAGUGAUAUCAGUAUAAUCAGAGUUCAACAGAGUACAUCAUGAGUCUCUGACUGAGAAAACAGGCUAAACAAAGACUGUGCUAGGAACCAGUUUUAGGAGGUAAAGCUCUAUGGUUUUGAUAAUUCCUGGCAGAAAAAAAGCUUCCUAUGUCUGGAAAAAAAAA